rnacentral:lncRNA from 1 species
GGUAAAGCAGACCCAACUGGUACCCCGACAACCUGUUCAAAACAGAGCAGAGUCCAACGGUGCUUCGAGAGCUCUUAGAACAGCAGUCACCGUUUUGGCAGAGAGCAAAACAAAGGCCUGCACAUAAUACAUGCAGCCUAAUUCAGUCAUCUAGGAAAGCUACCUACACAGGUGUGAACGGCAACUGUAUUUCUUACACUUGGGUAUUACAAUAAUAGAAGCUUAACAAUUGUUGUCUUGCCUCAGCUACUUUUUAUAAUUUACUUUAAUAGAAAAUUUGGGAAAUUCAGAAGUAUAAAGAAAAAAGUUUGGCCGGGCGUGGUGGCUCAUGCCUGUAAUCCCAGCACUUUGGGAGGCCAAGGCAGGAGGAGCAUUUGUGGUCAGGAGUUCGAGACCAGCCUGGCCAACAUGGUGAAAUCCAAUCUCUACUAAAAAUACAAAAAUUAGCUGGGCAUGGUGGCACACACCUGUAGUCCCAGCUACUCUGGAGGCUGAGGUAGGAGAAUCCCCUGAACCUAGGAUGUGGAGGUUGCAGUGAGCCAAGAUCAUGCCACUGCACUCCAGCCUGGGUGACAGAGUGAGACUCUGUCUAAAAAAAAAAAAAAAAAAAAAAAAAAAUUAGCCAGUACAGUGGCACACAUCUGUAGUCCCAGCUAUUCAGGAGGCUGAGGCAGGGGAGGAUCCCUUGAGCCUAGGAGUUCAAGGCUGCACUGAGCCGUGAUCACACCACUGCCCUCCAGCCUGGGUGACAGAGCAAGACCCUAAGAAAAGAAAAAAAAAAAAAAAAAAAAAAGGCAAGAAUAAUAUUUAACUAUUAAAAAAAAAAAAGACCCCAGUACCCAAAUAAUGAAAAUUAGAAGUAUCUAGUUCCAAAAGUAAAAUGAAUUCUUUUAAGAAAAUACUCAGGAGUGUUUUUAAAACAAAGUCAACAGUAGGAUGUUAAAUUAAACACUGAAUGAAUGGCAAACUGGAGCAGUGUUUCCCACUCCCAGCACCUUAUUUCAUAAAAAGAACUUCUCACCAGAAACUAGAUGAACAGACUUCCACAAGGUUGGAAGAAAUGCAAAUGAUCUACCUUCUUAAGGCAAAAAAGACAAAAUAGGAAGUGCUGUUCACCCAUCAGAUUGGGGGAAAAAGAGUUUAAAACCAAGAAGUUACUAGAGGCUGUGGGGAAAAUAGGAAUUUGUGCUCACUGUUGGUAGGAAGAUAAAUUUGGACAGCCAUUCCAGAGAGGCACUGGCCCAUCUGCUAAAACUGAAAAUUCACAUACCCCCGUAUAGUAGGAAUUGUUUUUAGGAAUAUAUCCUAGAGAAACAUACAUGCGUUCAAGGGAACAUAUACAACAAUGCCCAACAUAGCAUUAUUUUUACCAAAAACUGUUAGCAACCUUAAUGUCUGCAGCAUGCAACAACAUUCUUAACGUCUACAGAUAGAGGAAUGGACAAACUGUGGCAUAAAACAGACAACGAAAGGUCAUACUAAAAAUAAAUGAACUAGAAUUAUAUAUAUUAGUGAUAUAUUAGUGUAAACAGACUGGAAAAAUAAGAAAGCGAAAAGGGAGUUGCAGAAAAAUGUAAGUAGGAAUAUCUUUUACGUAAACCUUCAAAACACAAACAACAUCACGUUUCCUAUGACUAUGUAUUCAUGUAAUAAGCGCAUGGAGUGGAAGGCUACACAUCAAAGCCAUGACAGUGCUUGUUGCCUCUGGGAAGAACAAAGUGGACUUCAACUUUAUCAGAAAUGUUUUAUUUGGAGAAAAAAGAUCUGAAGUAAACAUGAAUAAGUAAAUUUGGGGUGGAGGAUAUGGGGGUAUUGAUUACUUAAUUCUCUACAUAUGUUACUGGAAUUUUAGAGUAUUUCUAAAUUUUAAAAUAAGAUUAUUUAGAAGGUAGAAUGAAAUGAUAAAGCAUAUUCAACUGAUAAGUAGGAAAUUUUUGUUUUUUUGUUUUUUGUUUUUUUUUGAGACGGAGUCUCGCUCUGUCACCCAGGAAGUGGCGCAAUCUCGGCUCACUGCAACCUCCGCCUCACGGGUUCAUGCCAUUCUCCUGCCUCAGUCUCCCGAGUAGCUGGGACUACAGGCGCCACCACGCCCAGCUAAUUUUUUGUAUUUUUAGUAGAAACGGGGUUUCACCGUGUUAGCCAGGACGGUCUUGAUCUCCUGACCUCGUGAUCCGCCCGCCUCGGCCUCCCAAAGUGCUGGGAUUACAGGUGUGAGCCACCGCACCCGGCCAGAAGUUUUAAAUUAAAAUAUUACUAUACCAUACACGGUUUCUGUUCAAAGACUGUGAGUUCAGUAAAAUACAUUUACCAUGCAGUUGGAUAAUAUAGCUGAUAUAAAGAAAACAGUCCCUUGGCUGGGUAUGGUGGCUCGCGCCUGUAAUCCCAGCACUUUAGGAGGCUGAGGCGGGCGGAUCACAAGGUCAAGAGAUUGAGACUGUCCUGGCCAACAUGGUGAAACCUCAUCUCUACUAAAAUUACAAGGAAUGAGCUGGGCGUGGUGGUGGGCACCCCAGCUACUCGGGAGGCUGAGGCAGCAGAAUCGCUUGAACCUGGGAGUCGGAGGUUGCAGUGAGCUGAGAUCGUGCCACUGCACUCUAGCCUGGCGACAGAGCAAGACUCUGUCUAAACAAUAAAUAAAUAAAAUGAAAACAGUCCCUUAAUCAAAUAUUAUAAACUAUAGCGUCACAAAGAGGAAACAGUGCAGGUUUCGGUAAGCAGACAGAUCUGGUUUUCCAGGUUAGUUAUUUUUAGUUAGUAGCUAGGUAAGUUAUUUAACCUCUCUUGAGUUUUACCAUCAAUCCCCUCAUCUAUAAAAUAUGGGUAACAUUUACCCUCCGAAUCAUGAAGCAAAAUGAGAAAAAGUAUAUAGGAUGCCUAGCUAACAUGACAGCUGUUGCUGCUCAUCACAACACUUCAACUGAAGAAUAAUAAUCCACAAGGGGAUGUGGAGACCAGCAAAGGACAGCCAAAGGACAGACAUUUGUGGCUGUCUUCCGCAUUCGGCCAAGGCAGAGACCUUGAUCUUAACCUCUGGAUUCAGCAGGUGAAACAAAUUAAUCUUGAGUGAAUUAUACAACAUGGGGAUCCGCCUGCUACUUUAAAAUAUUCCAGGGAGAUAAAUUAAGAUGAGUAAAAUGCUGGUAAUUGUUAAAACUGGGUAAUAGGCAUGUGGGAUUCAUCACACUCUUCUCCCUACUUUUCUGUAUGUUUAAGGAGAGAAGAAAAGAAGAAACAGAAUAAAAGAACCAAUUUUAAAAAGCAAGUUAACCUAGAAUGAAGACAAGAAAUCACCCCCGGCUCUCCUGGUUUGGUUGAAAUACCCCUUAUUACCCACAUCUACAUCUCUGUUUUGUUGUUGUUUUUUGAGACGGAGUUUUGCUCUUGUUGCCCAGGCUGGAGUGCGGUGGCACGAUCUCAGCUCACCGCAACCUCCGCCUCCUGGGUUCAAGCAAUUCUCCUGCCUUUGCCUCCUGAGUAGCUGGGAUUAUGGGCACACGCCACCACACCUGGCUAAUUUUGUAUUUUUAGUAGAGACGGGGUUUCUCCAUGCUGGUCAGGCUGAUCUUGAACUCCCGACCUCAGGCGAUCUACCUGUCUCGGCCUCCCAAAGUGCUGAGAUUACAGGCACCUGGCCUUCAUCUGUGUUCUAACUGCAUGAACUUCAUUCUGCAGGGGACCUGUAGAGUUUCUGUAGCCACAGAGCAGGGCAGGGUCAUCCUCCCAGUGAUGUGGAAAUACGGAAACCCUUCUUACUGAUCAAGAACUUUUCUGUAUAUUUAUGAAAGAAAAAAAAAACCCUUCUUAAUGUAGCAAAACUUUUUGGGAGUGUGGCAGAAACUGCUAGUUGAACCCCAAUAUCUAUUAUUUCCUUCUCCUCUCAUAGUAACAGAGCCCCCAGUUUUCAGCUGGGGCAAUGGCCACAUGGAAUCACAACUCUAUUUCCCAGCCCUCCCAGACCUAGGCGUGGCCAUUUGCUUUCUGGCUAACGGGAUGUGUGCAGAAGUGAGAGCGACUUUCGGGCUCUGUCUGCCCUCAGCUCUCCCUCCCCCUGCUCCCUUCCUCUUGGCAAGAAGCGUGAACGUGGAGGUAUGAGAUGAAGUGUUUUCUUAGUCCACAAGCCGAAAGCCAAAUUUUGAGAAUGUCAGAGCAAAAAAAGGAAAGCCAGGGAUCUAGAUUCUCGAUGACUGUAUGAGAAAUAAACUUACUUAAAGUUCUGGUGUUCAGAUUUCUCUGUUGCAGUAGUUGAACUUUUCUCUUAACUAAGAUAGCAGUCUUCAAACCUCCCAAACAUAUCAAAUAACCUAUUUCACAAGUUAAAUUACACAGAAUCUACUUUUAUGUUCCUAAACAAAGAAAGCAAAUAACUUAGGGAAAACAAUACACACAUUUUUAGACCUACUUCAAUUUCUUUCCCCACAUUACAUGCACCUGACUUGCUUUUCCUUUCUUGUGCCAAGUGCUUCAGAGUUUUCAGGAUAUGACACGUAAUUUCUCCAAGAACCCAGUAAAACCUGGUAUCCUGCCGGGCGUGGUGGCUCAUGCCUGUAAUCCCAGCACUUUGGGAGGCCGAGGUGGGCGGAUCAUUAGAGGUCAGGAGUUUGAGACCAGCGUGAUGAACAUGGUAAAACCCCGUCUCUAUUAAAAAAUAAAAAAAAUGGCCGGGCACAAUGGCUCACACCUGUAAUCCUAGCACUUCAGGAGGCCAAGGCGGGCAGAUCACAAGGUCAGAAGUUUGAGACCAGUGUGGCCAACAUAGUGAAACCCUGUCUCUACUAAAAAUACAAAAAAAUUAGCUAGGCAUGGUGGUGGGUGCCUGUAAUCCCAGCUACUUGGGAGGCUGAGUCAAGAGAAUCACUUGAACCCAAGAGGCGGAGGUUGUAGUGAGCCGAGAUGGCGCCACUGCUCUCCAGCCUGGGCGACAGUGCAAGACUCCAGCUCAAAAAAAAAAAAUUAGCUGGGCGUGGUGGUGUGGGCCUGCGAUCCCAGCUAAGGCUGAAGUAGGAGUAUAGCUUGAGCCCAGGAGACAGAGGUUGCAGUGAGUCAAGACUGCACCACUGCACUCCAGCCUGGGCAACGGAGCUAGACGCUGUCUCAAAACAGAAACAAAAACCUGGUAUCCCAAGUCAGCCACUGGAGGGCAGUCUUUACCAGCAGAGCUUACCCACCUUGUGCACACCGCCUGGGAGAUGACUGUCACUACCUCCCUACCUUCCUUCUGGAAAACAGGAGAAUGAGGAAAUCUGCAUUCUGUUGGGAAAAACUCUGCAGCUGAUUAUGGACACCACUAAGAAGGUGUAAGACCUCUUAAAUAAGACUGUAUUACCCAAAAUUAGUUUGUUAUUUUUUUAAAACAACAUACUUUGGCCAGGCACAGUGGCUCAUGCUUAUAACCCCAACACUUUGGGAGGCUGAGGCAGGCAGACUGCUUGAGCCCAGGAGUUCAAGACCAGCCUGGGCAACAUAGUGAAAACCAGUCUCUACAAAAUACAGAAAACAAAACAAAACAAAAAACCUAAUUGGGUGUGGUGGUAUCACCUGUAGUCCUGGGAGACUGAGGUGGGAUUGCUGGAGCCCAGGGAGGCUGAGACUACAGUGAGUUAUGAUCAUAAAACAAAACAAAACAAAAAAACCCACAAGAGCAACAACCACCAAAAAACCACAACGUAUUUCGGCCUAGAGCCUGAACUCACCUACUGACUUUCCUCAUUCUCUUCCCAUUCAAUAAUUCUCUCUCUGUUGCUAAUUUCCUGCUAGCUUGAGAAAGCAGACACCCAUUGUUUUGUAUUUGUUAUACACUUAACUUCGAUUCAUGCUUUGAUUAAAUGUUUCUAUUUCUGCCCUCCCUGUUUCCUACACAUACCUGUGGCAAGUCAGAAUUUACUUCAGCAAACUGAAGGGGAAGAGUCUGUAUCUGAGAUUUUCCCUCCAGAUAUUAAAAAAUAUGGCUGUUUACAAGUUAAGUGCUCACUGAUAACCAUUACAAUGGUACUUAGGCAUGGAUAUGCCUGAUACUCACAUUAGUUACUAUUUACUGAGCACUUGCUCUGUGCUAGGUAGGUCCUUCAUAUACAAUCUCUAAUUCUUCUACAACCCUGAAAGACCAGGGCUCAGAACCUGCACAGGUUACACCAGUAAUGAGUGGCUGAGAUCUGAGAUUUGCAACAAGCUCUAACUGCAAAGCUCAUGCUCCUUCUACUUUAACACACUGCUUCCUUCCCAUAUGGAACUACUUAUUCCUCAGUUGUCCCUUUUCAUGUCAAAGGCAGCACCUCUUCCCACUUUGAGGAAAAAGAUCAGCUGUGUUUCUGUUGUCCCAAAGUUGUAUGGAGGGUAAAACAGUGCCAUUUUUUGCCACCCUCCUGUUUCCUGGCAUAUCUUUUUUUUUUUUUUUAGACAGAGUCUUGCUCUAUCUCCCAGGCUGGAGUACAGUGGCGUCAUCUCAGUUCACUGCAACCUUGACCUCCCAGGUUCAAACAAUUCUCCUGCCUCAGCCUCCCAAGUAGCUGGGAUUACAGGUGCACACCACCAUGUCUGGCUAAUUUUUGUAUUUUUAGUAGAGACAGGGUUUCACCAUGUUGGCCAGGCUGGUCUCGAACUCCUGACCUCAGGUGAUCUGCCCACCUCAGCCUCCUAAAGUGCUGGAAUUACAAGCAUGAACCACACACCCAGCCUGUUCUCUGGCAUAGUUUCUAGGAAUGCACUUCAGCAAUAACCAGGAACAGUCUGUACUCACAGACAGCUCCUUAUCUCAACUGCUAAUCAUGGAUUCCAUUUCCUGGGUAAACAGUGGUAUCAUCUCACGCACUACUGCUUCUCUGCAGUUCCUUCACACUUUGCUGUGGUUUUUCUUUUCAGAUGCCCUUAAACCAUAUUUAGGGCAUUGUGGCACAGACCCACCUAUCUCCUCCAACCUUACAUUUACCAUUAAGUAGGUGGCCAUGUGACAAGUCAGUACAGUUGUUCAGCAUCACUGGAGGAGUGGAUUGGCAAUAUGCAAAGCGGCAAAAAAUGGAAACGAACUUAUCCAAGAGCUUCUAACAUAAACAGCAAUGCUAAGUUGAUUCAAAGCAGAAAUCAGUAAAGCCACAUAUCCCUAUGUGAAGCAAAACAGAUUUUGAGGUACAUAUACGACAAGCCUGAGUAGGAAGUUCAGAUGACAAUAACUGAUUUACUAAGGGAUUUUGGCAGAAUUCUUACCCCUGAAGCCAGAACCACAGUGGGAGCACUAGUAAGCAGUUGGGGAUGCCUGUCUUAGUCAUUCUGGCUACGAAUGCCUCAAAGUCAAAUGAGAUGCUGUAGCACCAUGAUUCCUAAAUCUGCUGCCUAAGUAGAUGAAUCAGCAGAAACACUUAUUAAAAACCCAGAUUCCCAGGGAUCUCAAGAAGAAUCCGAUGCAGUAAGUUUGAGAUGGUGGCCUAGGUAGCUAUCAGCAGAUGAUUCUUAUAACCAGGUAAGUCUGAGAAAGUCGUUAAUAAACUUAACAGAUUUUAGAACCACCGAUAACACCACGAAUUUUAUUUUAUUUUUUUGAGAUGGAGUUUUGCUCUUGUUGCCCAGGCUGGAGUGCAAUAGCAAGAUCUCGUCUCACUGCAACCUCUGCCUGCCGGGGUCAAGCGUUUCUCCUGCCUCAGCCUCCCGAGUAGCUGGGAUUACAGGCGCCCGCCACCACGCCCAAAUAAUUUUUUGUAUUUUUAGUAUAGACGGGGUUUCACUAUGUUGGCCUGAUCUCGAACUCCUGACCUCAGGCGAUCCACCCGCCUUGACCUCCCAAAGUGCUGGAAUUAUAGGCGUGAGCCACUGCGACAAGCUCUAUGAAUUUUUAAGUUGAUCCUAAUCUCUAUCUGAUAGCUAAAAUCUUUUUCGAUUUUGGGCUAUUCUUAAAACAAUUCAUUCUCCUUAGAUAGGUAGGCUGGGUUUCAAGCUGAAAAACAUCUAUAUGAUAUCUUUUUUUUUUUUUUUUUUUUUUUUAAACAGAGUUUCACUCGUUGCCCAGGCUGGAGUGCAAUGGUGCGAUCUCAGCUCACUGCAACUUCCACCUCCUGUGUUCAAGCCAUUCUCCUGCCUCAGCCUCCUGACUAGUUGAGAUUACAGGAGCCCGACACCAUGUCCACCUAAUUCUUGUAUUUUUGGUAGAGACAGUUUCACCAAGUUGACCAGGCUGGUCUUCAACAUCUGACCUCAGGUGAUAACGCACGCCUCAGCCUCUCAAAGUGCUGGGAUUACGGGCGUGAGCCACCGUGCCCAGCCAUUGUUUUUUGUUUUUUUGUUUUUGAGACAGUCUCCCUCUGUCACCCAGGCUGAAAUGCAGUGGCACAGUCUUGGCUCACUGCAACCUCCGCCUCCUGGGUUCAAGUGAUUCUCCUGCCUCAGCCUCCCAAGUAGCUGGGAUUACAGGUGCAUGCCACCCACCACGCUCGGUUUUUGUAUUUUUAGUAGAGAUGGGGUUUCACCACGUCGGACAGGCUGGUCUCAAACUCCUGACCUGAAGUGAUCUGUCCGCCUUGGACUGCCAAAGUGUUAGGUGGCUCACAGGUGUGAGCCACCAUGCCGAGCCCAUAUUAUAUACUUAAUAGCUUUAGAGUAUACCUGCCAAAAGUUGAGGUAAUUUAACCCUGAUGCUCUGAAAGCAUACCAAGGUUAGAGACAACCACUUUUCAUUAGUUCUGAAAUGGGGAGCUUGGAGUUAGCAGGCCUGACUUUAAACACUUUGUCAUUUAUUAGCUGUAAUGCUCCCAAGGAAACUGUUUAACCUCUGAGCCACAGUUUCCUCAUUUGUAAAACAGGGAUGAAAAUCCCCACCCUCCAGGGUUGUGUGUGGAUUAUAGAAAAUGUAGAAAUACAAGCAUGGCAUACACAAAAGCACUCAAUAUUGAUACCAUAGUCAUCUACCACAUUAACGAUGUUUUAGUCAAUGACAGACUGCAUAUAUUAACAGUGGUCCCAUAAGAUUAUAACACUGUAUUUUUACAGUAUCUUUUCUAUAUUUAGAUAUGUUGAGAUCCACAAAUACUUAUUGUUCUAUUACAACUUCCUAUAGUAUUCAAUAGUAACAUGCGGAACAGGUUUACAGCCUAGGAGCAAUAGGCCACACCAUACAGCCUAAGUGUGUAGUUAGCUAUUCUAUCUGGAUUUAAGUACACUGCGAUGUUCACACAACAAAAUCACCUAAUGACACGUCUCAGAAUGUACCAUCAUCAGGUGAUGCAUGGCUACAUUUCCAAUUGAUUCAGGAAAACAUGGCUCUAUGUGCUAUUUUUUUUUUUAAUUUUUUAAUUUUUAUUUUUUUGAGACAGAGUCUCUCUCUGUCACCCAGGCUGGAGUGCAGUGCCGCGAUCUCAGCUCACCGCAACCUCUGCCUCCCAGGUUCAAGCAAUUCUCCUGCCUCAGUCUCCCGAGUAGCUGGGAUUACAGGCAUGUGCCACCACACCCCGCUAAUAUUGUAUUUUUAGUAGAGAUGGGGUUUCUCCAUGUUGGUCAGGCUGGUCUCGAACUCCUGCCUUCAGGUAAUCCGCCCGCCUCAGCCUCCUAAAGUGCUGGGAUCACAGGCGUGAGCCACCAUGCCCGGCCUCUAUGUGCUAUUUUAAAAUUCUCUCAAUACAUUAAUUCUCCUGUACCUCCAAAUUAUUAAAAAAAAAAAAGAACUCUACAGAAAGCUAAGAAUCAUUAAACAGGUAACAGCCCGAACAUCAGAGGUAUAAACUACAGCAUUCUCCUACCAUAAAUAAACAAGUCAACAGCGGAUCCCUUUUAGAGAUGAAUCAAGUAGAAAGCUGUGCCCAUGAGUCAGCUCUGCCUCCACUGCCAGAGACAGCAGUGUUCCCCUGCCUCUUGGCCCAUUCCGGGAUCCUUUGCAAUACAUAACGCGGCUCUUGCCAAUGAUUACUACAGGAGUAGAAGAGUUUCACACCAACAGACUUGUUUUUCCAACUAGGCUUUCACCCACAGGUUCUUAUGGGAUCAUCAACCCUGUCACCGUGAAUCUUUUCAGCACUUGUCAAUUAUUUAGGCAAACAACAUCAUUUACAUGUGAAAUUUCCCAUCUCUACCCAACACAAACCUUGGAGGGCUGAACCUUUGCUGACUGGGCAAUCCCUUCUCCAGGAGUUAUGACCUGUUUUUGAGGGGACACAGCUAUCAUGUGACCCCCUUUCACAGUCACAUACUGCGGGAGUGGUGACUGGCUGGCAGCUCCUGUUGCGGGCACGUGAGGGGCUUCACCAGGUUCCUGUUUGAUGAUCACCUUGCAACAAACAUAAUGACACUGAAUAAACAUCCAUAAACAUCCCAUUUUAUAAAGCUGCUAAUAUCUGACUCUUCUCCGUUUGCAGGGAUUAAUGAAUUGAUGAAACUUGAUACGUAAAGAAUGACUCCACCAGAAGGGUAAAUAUACAUACUGCUUAAAUACAGUCCAUACCAGCUAUUAAAGGGACCAAAAGUAGGAUCUGAACUUGAUCCUGUGCUCCUGUAAUAACACAGUCACUUGUUUUAGAGACUGUGGCAAAUGACAGCAGAGAGAAACAAACACACUGUGCUCCAUGAAUCCCCAUCUUGCUGGACUCCAAGGGCUGCCCUGAGGACAUCAUUAAAUACAUGGAAGCACGUCUCAGAAUGAGGAGUUGAGACCCACUAAAAAGUAACAUGUUGUAGGGGUAGUGGCAAUGAACUCCAACAUGCCACAAAAAGUAUUAUGACUUGUGGGACAAUGCCCUAAUACAUACUCACUUUUGUGAAAGCUCCAAGUCCUCCUGUUAUAGGUUUGGGGCUUUGAACCUUAGGGUGACUCCCAAUUGGGCAAAGAGGUGGCAUAGAUGCAAACAAAGAAUCCUCCUGCUGUGUGUGUAAAAAUACAUAUUUUACAAUCAGGAGAAAUGGGUGAUUUCAGAUAUCUAGUCACUUAUAUUUAAUACAAACCUGUGACAUUCUCUAGCAAUAUAAAGAAAUAAAAAGACUGGCUGGGUGCGGUAGCUCACGCCUGUACUCCCAGCACUUUGGGAGGCAGAGGUGGGUGGAUCGCCUGAGGUCGGGAGAUCAAGACCAGCCUGACCAACACGGAGAAACCCUGUCUCUACUAAAUAUACAAAAUUAGCCGGGUGUGGUGGCGGGUGCCUGUAAUCCCAGCUACUUGGGAGGCUGAGGCAGUAGAAUCACUUGAACCAGGGAGGCAGAGGUUGUGGUGAGCCGAGAUCACGCCACUGCACUCCAGCCUGGGUGACAAGAGCAAAACUCCGUAAAAAAAAAAGAAAGAAAAAAACCUAAAAUUCCUUGGGGUCUUCCAAGCCUCUACACCUGCAUUUUAAUAUUGUUUUAGAAAACAAAUGCAAAGAAAAGCUGUAACUUGGCAAGAAUCUACUCAUCUGUGUCCUGCUGUACACUGGAAAGACUUCUAACUUACUACCCCUAACAUUUGGCUGACUUUAUUGGUCUUCCCCGAUAGUUGGUAAACCACUAAAGGACAGGGACUGUAUUUAAUUUUAUAUCCCUGGAGCCUAGGCACUAAAUAAAUAAAUGAAAGAAACAGGCAGCUGCAAUGUUUCAGUAUAUACUCUCUUUUAAUAGUACUCACAACUGAUUUGCAAAAUUUACUCAAUGAACACCCAGAAUACAAAGGAAAAAUUUUCAAUAAAAACUUAAAAAACAAGCAAACAAACAAAAAACUUGAAUAAUUUGGCACAGGCAAAGACAACGAAAGUCAACAUUCAAAACUUCUGUAGUUCUGGCCAGGCGCAGCGGCUCACGCCUGUAAUCCCAGCACUUUGGGAGGCUGAGGCGGGCAGAUUACCUGAGAUCAGGAGUUCGAGACCAGCCUGACCAACGUGGAGAAACCCCGUCUCUACUAAAAAUACAAAAUUAUCCGGGCGUGGGGCGCAUGCCCUGUAACCCCAGCUACUCAGGAGACUGAGACCGCAGAAUCGCUUGAACUCAGGAGGCAGGAGGUUGCAGUGAGCCAAGAUUGCGCCACUGCACUCCAGCCUUGGCAACGAGAGCGAAACUCUGUCUCAAAAAAAAAAAAAAAAAAAAAAAAAUUCUGUAGUUUCUCUUUAAUUCUCAAACACAAAAUGCAAAUCUCAGAGGUAAUCUGUCAAAAUUUGGAAACGAAGAACACUUCUUGGCUGUAAAGUAAAAUGAUCACCAACAAACAAUAAAAAUUAAACCAGCAGAGUUAAGACUUUCAAGAUUACUAUAAUUCAGACAUUCAUAUAACAGUGCCAACACACUGCACAGAACUUAGAGAACAGCCUCGCCUUGGACCAGGAAGUCAUUCAAUAUCAUCAUUAGUGUCUAAAUAAAAGAAAUGCUGUGUCAGGCACCAGUCAUUUGACUGGAACAGGUCAGAUCAUAUUUGGAGUUGUAAAUUUUAAAGGACUGCUUACCCAGAAAAAGGGGAGCAGGGGAGAGACUCUGUGGAGGUAAGCAUUAUUUUCAAAUAGCUAAACGGUUAACACAUGGAAAAGGAAACACUGAUGCUCCCCGACUUAGGAUGGGGUUACGUCUGGAUAAACCCAUCAUAAGGGGAAAACAUCAUAGGCCAAAAGUGCAUUUUUGACUUCCCACACUUUCACCGUAUGGUGGGUUUAUCUGAAUAUAACCCCAGCGUAAGCUGAGGGCUCGCUAAGUGCAUAUUGCUUUUGCACCACGGUAAAGUCGAAAAAUCGUUAAGUUGGACCACUGUAAGGUGGGAGCCAUUUGUAUAUUUACUUCUUGGUGAUGCAAACAUAGAAAAGAUAGGAACGUGCUGUCAGAUGAAUGUUUUUAUAUUUUUAAAUUUUUAUUUUUUUUAUGGGUUAAGGAGCAGAAAGUUUAAUAAGCAAAAGAAAGGGGAGAGGACAGCAGCUCUCUGUUGCGAGAGAGAGAGGUGUCCAAAAGGGAAGAGGUCAGAUGAAUAUUUUUAUAAGCAAGUAUUUUUAACAAACUUUUCAAAUAAGUAAAUAAAUAAUCUUAUCACAGUAAGUUUUUAAAUUGAUACUGGGUGACUAUUUCACACAAGUGUUGUGAAGCAUUUGUGACACUAUGAAAAGAUCCAAGUAAGGUAGUAAAGUCUGGAGUAGAUCCAAGUAAGUUAGUAAAGUCUGGGGGUAGUAAAGUCUAGAUACUUAACAGCUUGAAGAUUCCAUUUUAUGAAAUUUGCGUCAUCAACUGACACAUUCUUGCUGAGGCUGAACAUACUAUGUUCAGAAACCGGCAAAGUGGCGGGGUGCAGCUCAUGCCUGUAACCGCAGUACCCUGGCAGGUGAGGUGGCAGAUCUCUUGAGGCCAGGAGUUCGAUACAGCCUGGUUAAUACGGGGAGACCCCAUCUCCAUUUGAAAAAUUAUUUUUUAAAAAUGAAAAGAAAAAGAAGCUAGCAAAGUGUAAUAACGCAGUAAGAAUGUUACCUUGACAGUAGAUGUUACAAAACUACUUCCAUGAAUUUUAGGAACAGGGGAACCUGUUCCUUGGGAGACCUGAGAAGCCGUGGAGAUCUUGUUUGUAGGACUUCCUGAUAAGCAAGGCACAAUUAAAACAUAAACAAAGUAAAAUUUACAAAAGGUAAUUUUAAAGCAUUUCUACCAUCCUCCCCUCUUUCGCACUAUUUAUUUUUCAUGUUUAAGGGUUGAAAACUCAUUGUUAAGGCUGAAACUAGUAUGGAAAAAAACCCUUAAGGACCCAUCCCUGUGAAGCUGAUCUCAUGCUCAACCUGAAGAAGGUAAGAAGCUGGUAAGGACAUGCAGAAGAAUAAGUAGUAAAGUCACUUGUUUUAGACUACUCCUUGUACAAUAAACAGUAGCAUAUUCUCGUAUAUUCUACUCCUUAUACAAUAAAAGACACUAUAACGUAUUCUACUUGUAUGUUCUACUCCUCAUACAAUAAAAGACACUACAACAUAAUGAUACUGUUUAACAAAUGUGCCAGAAUAUAUGCAUUCUGCUAGCUCCUUCAAAGUAGUUUCACCAGAAAGUUAUGCCUAUUCCAAAAUGCUGCCAACAUUAUUAUUUUUUUUUCCUGAGAUGGAGUCUCGCUCUGUCACCCGGGGUGGAGUGCAGUUGCCUGAUCUCGGCUCACUGCAACCUCCACCUACUGGGUUCAAGUGAUUCUCCCACCUCAGCCUCCCCAGUAGCUGGGACUACAGGCACGCGCUACCACACCUGGCUAAUUUUUCUAUUUUUAGUGGAGAUGGGUUUCGCCAUGUUAGCCAGGCUGCUCUCGAACUCCUGACCUCAGGUGAUCCGCCCACCUUGGCCUCCCAAAGUGCUGGGAUUAUGGGCAUGAGCCACCACGCCUGGCCAACAUUAAACAUUUUAUACUCCAUCUGUACAACUGCCUUUAGAGUCUGAAAAAAAUUUAGUCAUAUAUUACCUAUAGUCAACAAGUCAAGACCCCAAAUAGUAUUUAAUCAUUUACUCCAUUUACCAAACUUGCCUCCAAAGACUUCUAGCUGAUUCCUAAAACAAAAUGUCAUGAAAUAACACCUAUUUGGCAUCCUUAAGUAUGUUCGAAAGGUACUGGGUAAGCCUUGAACACAGUAAUUUUUAAGGGCAUUCCACAAUUACAAUCACUAUUAAAAUUUAGCCUUUCCAAAAAAAAAAAAAACUGCUUGGAAAAGCCCAACAUACAUUCAUGUGUUAAAUCCAAUAGGUCAAACAAACAACAACAAAAAAAUCAGUCUCAUUAUCUUAUAAUCAUCCCUUUUAUUUCAUUUAUCUUCUAUUUCUCUUAAUUAGAAGUGAAAACUUCAGGGAAGUUUAUAGUUAGGAGCGUGUGUUUAAAUACAGGUUGAAUGGGGCCAGGCGUGGUAGCUCACGCCUGUAAAUCCAGCACUUUGGGAGGCUGAGGCAGGUGGAUUGGAGUUUGAGACCAGCCUGGCCAACAUGGUGAAACCCCAUCUCUACUAAAAAUACAAAAAUUAGCUGGGCGUGGUGGUGCACGCCUGUAAUUCCAGCUACAUGGGAGGCUGAGGCAGGAGAAUUGCUUAAACCCAGGAGGUGGAGGUUGCAGUGAGCCGAGAUCACGCCACUGCACUCCAGCUUGGGUGAAAAGAGCAAGACUCUGUCUCAAUAAAUUAAUAAAUUAAUUAAUUAACAAUAAAUACAGGUUAACUGAAGGGAAUAAAUAAAAUAAUGUUAGAGAAAGCAUUUCAAAAAAACCUAAAAAGCAUGGGAUUACAGUGAGGAACACGGUGAACCCAAGGAUGACUUUUUCCUAUUAGAGUUCUCUUUAAAACUGCAGGUUUCAAUUUCCCCUCCCACAAGCAGAAUGGGUCUUCCUUGAAGAAAAUAAUAUCAUUUUUUAUUUGACUGGGGAGAACGGUAUGUGGCCCACAAGGUUAGCAAAAGCUUCUUUGGAAGAGGUAGUAACCACAUUGCUUACAGUCCCCCAAAGCGUAAGUCUUCCAAAUGAAAACAAAAUCAACUAUUCUUUUAAGAACAUUCAUUAUGGCUUAUUUUGAACUUUUAGAAAUUAAAAGAAAACUCAAGUAAAUUCUAAAAAAUGCAACUUUUACAGAGUAAAUCUCCCCUCAGAGAAAGAGUAUUGGCUUUCCUUUUACUUAUUCUCGCUUCUCGUUUACGGGAGAUUUCAUUCUCCAAUUACAUGGCUACCAAGUCAUGGCAGGAUUACAUUUUUAAUAAAGAUCAAACCCUUUAGAUGGUACAAAUAUGGAUCUAAUA